GCUCGGGGUUCCUUAUCUCAGAGGGCACGUCGGCGUUCGGUAUGAACCUGCGUCCUCGGCCACCUGGGAAGUGUUUCUUGUUCCCUCCAUGAUAACCACCUGCACCAGGUCAUGGCGUCCAUCAGAUACGGGUCAGAGGCUUCAUCAUCGACUAAAUCAAGAACAGCAGCAUCCAAUCUGCAUGACAGCAGUAAGCUUGAUUUAAAGCGUGGCACAGGACUGCAUCUUCUCAAUUUCAUGAACUAGAUAAAAUUUGAGAUAUGCCAAAGUAUUGUACAUCCAAAGUAUUGUCUUUAACAAUAUAGAAAGAGCAUGGCAGAUCCUACGAAGCAUGAGGUUGACCGCACAUUUUGCUGGAUCAUGAUAUGCUCAAAAUGCUGGAUAUGAGAAUAUCAAAUGACAUUAGGAGUCCAUUUGCUAUUUAUGUGGGUUGUGAUAAUCUCUUGAUGGAACUGCUUUCAGAUA